rnacentral:rRNA from 1 species
UACGAAGGGGGCUAGCGUUGUUCGGAAUUACUGGGCGUAAAGCGAACGUAGGCGGUGUUCCAUGUCAGAGGUGAAAGCCUGGGGCUCAACUCCAGAAUUGCCUUUGAAACGGGAACGCUUGAGUCCGAGAGAGGGUGGCGGAAUUCCUAGUGUAGAGGUGAAAUUCGUAGAUAUUAGGAAGAACACCAGUGGCGAAGGCGGCCACCUGGCUCGGUACUGACGCUGAGGCGCGAAAGUUAGGGUAGCAAACAGG